rnacentral:rRNA from 1 species
UACGUAGGGUGCGAGCGUUAAUCGGAAUUACUGGGCGUAAAGCGUGCGCAGGCGGUUUGGUAAGACGGAUGUGAAAUCCCCGGGCUCAACCUGGGAACUGCAUUUGUGACUGCAUAGCUAGAGUACGGCAGAGGGGGAUGGAAUUCCGCGUGUAGCAGUGAAAUGCGUAGAUAUGCGGAGGAACACCGAUGGCGAAGGCAAUCCCCUGGGCCUGUACUGACGCUCAUGCACGAAAGCGUGGGGAGCAAACAGG